rnacentral:rRNA from 1 species
CACCCAACAGCUAGCUCAACCCCACAACACCAACAGACCACUAUUUAUACACCCAAAACCACUUCCCCCAAAAAACAAACCAUUUUUCCUCCUGAGUACGGGCGACGAAAAAGGACCUAGAAGCAAUAGAGAGAGUACCGUAAGGGAAAGCUGAAAGAGAAAUGAAAUAACCCAGUUAAGCACAGAAAAGCAGAGACACCCCCUCGUACCUUUUGCAUCAUGAUUUAGCAAGAAAUACUUAAGCAAAAAGCAUUACAGUUUAAUUUCCCGAAACUAAGUGAGCUACUCCGAGACAGCCUUGUUAUAGGGCGACCCCGUCUCUGUGGCAAAAGAGUGGGAAGAGCUCCGAGUAGAGGUGACAGACCUACCGAACUUAGUUAUAGCUGGUUGCCUGAAAAUUGAAUAGAAGUUCAGCCUUUUAAAUUCUUUUCCCACUUUUAGCCCACCGCUUACCCUAGGUAACAAGAAGUUAAAAGAGUUAGUCAAAAGGGGUACAGCCCUUUUGAUAAAAAAUACAAUUUUUUAAGCAGGAUAAAGAUCAUAUCAAAAACAAGGAAAAUGCCCAAGUGGGCCUAAAAGCAGCCAUCCAAGCAGAAAGCGUUAAAGCUCGAGCAUUUUAUACGCCCCCAAUACCGACAACUUUAUCUUAAUCCGCUAAACCCACCAGGCUGUUCCAUUUUAAAUGGAAGCAAUUAUGCUAAUAUGAGUAAUAAGAGAAGCCCCGCUUCUCUCCCGGCACACGUGUACAUCGGAACGAACCCCCACCGAAAAUUAACGGCCCCAAAACCAAGAGGGAACUGGAAAAAAAAUAAAAAACAAGAAAACCAUCCAACUAAGCACCCGUUAAUCCCACACUGGUGUGCCUUAUGGGAAAGACCAAAAGAAAGAGAAGGAACUCGGCAAACACGAGCCUCGCCUGUUUACCAAAAACAUCGCCUCUUGAUACAAAAACAUAAGAGGUCCCGCCUGCCCAGUGACUAUAAGUUUAACGGCCGCGGUAUUUUGACCGUGCAAAGGUAGCGCAAUCACUUGUCCUUUAAAUGAAGACCUGUAUGAAUGGCACCACGAGGGCUCAACUGUCUCCUUUUUCCUGUCAAUGAAAUUGAUCUCCCCGUGCAGAAGCGGGGAUACUUACAUAAGACGAGAAGACCCUAUGGAGCUUUAGGCACUAGACUAGACUAUAUCAAGCACCCUUCUAUAAAAGACAAAACUAACUAGACCCUACUCCCUAUGCCUUUGGUUGGGGCGACCGCGGGGAAAGGAAAAACCCCCAUGUGGACUGAGAGCACACUUUACUCCCACAACCUAGGGCCACAGCCCUAAGAAACAGAACUUCUGACCAACAAAUGAUCCGGUAAAACCGAUCAACGGACCGAGUUACCCUAGGGAUAACAGCGCAAUCCCCUUUUAGAGCCCAUAUCGACAAGGGGGUUUACGACCUCGAUGUUGGAUCAGGACAUCCUACUGGUGCAGCCGCUAUUAAGGGUUCGUUUGUUCAACGAUUAAAGUCCUACGUGAUCUGAGUUCAGACCGGAGUAAUCCAGGUCAGUUUCUAUCUAUGACAUGAUCUUUUCUAGUACGAAAGGACCGAAAAGAAGAGGCCCCUGUUUUAAACACGCCUCCCCCUCACCUAAUGAAACCAACUAAAAUAGGCAAAAGGGCAUAACCCCUGAGCUUAAGAAAAUAGCCU